rnacentral:lncRNA from 1 species
AACAUUAAAAGGAACAACAGUAAGUAACUUUGCAAUCAUAACCAACACCUGUUGUAAUAGUAAUACCAACUGUUAUUAGGAGCACAAAGAACUUAGAGAACUCUUUUUCUUUCUUUUUUACCUUUCUUAGGCUGUAGAUGACUUCCCUCGUGUAAUUGAUAAAAGCCUUUUUUUUUCCUUUUUUCCUUUUUUCAAACUAUAUAUAUACUUAACAUAGAAAAAACAC